UAGGGAAUCUUCGGCAAUGGACGAAAGUCUGACCGAGCAACGCCGCGUGAGUGAAGAAGGUUUUCGGAUCGUAAAACUCUGUUGUUAGAGAAGAACAAGGACGUUAGUAACUGAACGCCCCCUGACGGUAUCUAACCAGAAAGCCACGGCUAACUACGUGCCAGCAGCCGCGGUAAUACGUAGGUGGCAAGCGUUGUCCGGAUUUAUUGGGCGUAAAGCGAGCGCAGGCGGUUUCUUAAGUCUGAUGUGAAAGCCCCCGGCUCAACCGGGGAGGGUCAUUGGAAACUGGGAGACUUGAGUGCAGAAGAGGAGAGUGGAAGUCCAUGUGUAGCGGUGAAAUGCGUAGAUAUAUGGAGGAACACCAGUGGCGAAGGCGGCUCUCUGGUCUGUAACUGACGCUGAGGCUCGAAAGCGUGGGGAGCAAACAGG
rnacentral:rRNA from 1 species